rnacentral:rRNA from 1 species
UACGGAGGAUGCGAGCGUUAUCCGGAUUUAUUGGGUUUAAAGGGUGCGUAGGCGGACUGUCAAGUCAGCGGUAAAAUUGAGAGGCUCAACCUCUUCCCGCCGUUGAAACUGGUGGUCUUGAGUGGAUGAGAAGUACGCGGAAUGCGUGAUGUAGCGGUGAAAUGCAUAGAUAUCACGCAGAACUCCGAUUGCGAAGGCAGCGUACCGGCAUCCAACUGACGCUGAGGCACGAAAGCGUGGGGAUCAAACAGG